CCUGCAUCCAAUUCUCUCAAUUAUGCAAAUUGGGUUGAAAUCAAAGUAGUUGGAGGGGGUGAAAAUUUUUCAGAUGAAAAGUUGGGGAGCCUCUGAACGAGACUGCAGUGCUUUUUAGGUUAGCCGGUCCGCUCCGUCUUCUCACACAAGCUAAGAUCUUCCACACUGUGAAGUGAACACAAAGAAAGGGAGUUUGGACAAAUUGGGAGAUUAGGGGCCGGUUAUCAAAGUAGAUUUAUUGUGCCUUGUUCAAGCGAAGGAUGAAAAUACCCUGUGGGCAUGGAGAAGGGGUCAUGGGACUCCCAAAAGGAUUACCUUGAACUGGAGUCAUGAGACUUGGGCGAACAAAGACCUUGCUCACAUGCUCAUCAUAUUAACCGGCCCUCAUAAAGUGAAGAAGUUUCAUGUCCUGUGGGACUCAAUGAGAGCGCUUGACUGGGAGCACAGCACCAGGAGAACGCUCUGGUAGAGGAGCAGCAGACUUCUUCUCUACUCACUGGGCUUAACCUGCAGCAGCACCACAGAUAAGACUCUGCGGCUCGGACAGAAGACUGUGUGCACAAAAAGCUUGGAUUGAGAGGACCUUUGUAAAAAGAGAAUGUGUUCACAAAUUCCCCACCAAGGACCCGACCAGAUGUGCCUGUGGUCAGCUGAACGCGCAGCACGUGGCCAUCCCUGCUGGUGCCAACUCACUAGA